ACGAGAGAUGUGAACCAUCAAACCGGCUGUUCCUCUUUGGAGUUCUUGCUUCUCCAUCACAUCCCGUCCCAUUACAGUCACAUCAGCACAUUUAUCAGAAGAUGCCUUAAACAAAACGUAUGCUGUGAUAGAAGAUAAACUUUUUAUGGCUGUACAGAAUUAACCCGCCUUCCUCUUUAAAUCCAACUUCUCGUUUGCUGCAUUUUACUUCUCAGCUCCAGCUUCCUCCUUGGAAACACCUUCAAUAUUCCUGUGGCGGCAGCCCUGUUUGCCAAUUAAUGAAACGAAGCUCUUAAAAACAGAUACUGCCAUGUGGGAAGUCUUCUUUUAGUUUGAAGAAUAAAGCAGUGUGCUGAGUUCAUGUACUUGUAGAAUUCAUUUGCCCACUAGAGGUCAGUAUCCACAUGUCUGUACGUCAGUUGAGGUCUUCAGCUGACGUCCUGAGGGACUGGCAGUGAGUGCAACACCAGAUCUGCAGGUCUUAAAUCACAAGGAUUACAAACAGUGAAGGGGAGUUAGGUCAUGGUGUCAUAGUGCUUGUUGUCUUAACAGUGCCAGAGACUGAAGUAUUUAUUCAGUGUUUUGGGUUUUUAAAGAGCAGUUACAUUGUAUGGAGAGGUGGAUGUUAUUGAUAAGGAAGAGAAAUGAUACGCCUUGAAAAAAUUAGCUUUCAGCCCAGCAGCAGAAGUUUAAAGGGACUUUUUUGGAGACUAAGCAAAGAAUAUCUCCCUCAAAAGGACAGCAGCAAAUGAAAUCUUAAUCUUCAUGAACAGGGCCUGGGUCAAACCCACACUAAGACAAGCACAGGAAGACAACAAAUCAUGAUAGAUAGACAAGAGUCUCAUGAGCCAAUGAGCAGAGACAUGAAGGCUAACCUGCUGCCAACUUGGCUUGUCUUAGAAGCAGGGAGAGAGCAGAAGAUGUUGACAUUUUGGCAGGGGAGGGAAGCUGCUGUUCCAUCUGCAUCUGAAAGGUCACUGCGGUGGGUUUUGGUGCACAGUAUGUGUGUGAUUGUGUGUGUGUGCGCGCACUAGUGCCUGCCAAAAGCAAUGUGUUUAAUGCAUGUGUCUUUCUCAUCAGUUCUGUGAGAAAAGAGCAGAGGAGAGCUAUAAACAAAGAUGCUGGAAGUGUUGGGCAUAGCAUAAACAGAGUAGUAGGAAUCCACCCCCCCGGCCCCUUAUACACACACACACACACACUUACAUCUAUACACACACAUUGUUGCUUUGAAUGUGUUCAUAGAAACUAAAGGAAUGUCCGAGCAAUGAUUAGACAUUUUCAUUUAAAGUAAUAAGUUAAAUAAAGUUAUUCAAGAUCAGUUUAAUCUUGUUUGUGUUUGGCGUAGCAUAACGCAGACCCUUGCAACAAUUUCCUGUUGGCCUUCAAGCAGCUUUAUUCGUAUUUUCGUUGUUUUUUCCACUUGGAGUCAACAGAAACAAGUUGUAAACACAAGAGGCUAGUGUUGUUGUUGUGACGGUGUUAGCAAAGAUUUGCCUAUUUACACAUCCAGCAGCCACAAGGCCACAUUAUCAUUCAUCAGGCAGGUCAAAUAAUAAUUUUCCUUUUAACUUUGGUCUCUAACAGUACCUGCCAGAAAUAUCUGCUUCUUUAGCUGCUAAAUGCUCCACUAUAGUCAGCAGCCGGUUGCUGACUUUGUCUGUUUGCCGUUUGAUGCUAGGCGUGAAGCAUGCGGCAGAUUUAGAGAAUUUUAUGCUGAAAACAGGCGCCUGUUGUGGCUGAAUAAUGAAUGAUGCUGAUGGAAGCAGUGAGAGUGAACCAAACAGUAAAUUUAGGGGCUGUAAAAAUAAAAUAGAGCACUGAAAGAUGUUAAAAUGCUCCACACAGCUGAAGAGAACUGCAGGGUUGAUGAUUUUCUCUUGUUUCAUCAUUACGAGUGACUUCUUUCACAUUGCACAGAGUCAUUUUAUCCAUUAUUAACACAGAAGUAUUGAUGGGUUCCAAGACAUCGGAAUAAGGGUACAUUUUAUCAGUGAUAAGAUGGCUCCCACAGCCGCUGACUACCUAAUGGCUGAAGUAAUGAACAGAAGCAUAUUUGGACAAUGUGACCAGAGAAGGUGGCUUUUUGCUUUUGGAGACAUUUGUGCUGGCCAUGAAAAACAAACAUAGUUGUGAGGGCAACUGGUGGUUAUUUGUGUCAAAUGACAGGAAGUAUUUCAAAUCUCAUAAGCACAAACCUGCUGCAAGGAAAUUCAAACUAAUGUAUUUCAACUGUCACCUCUGCGAAAUAUUUCCUGUGUGCCUGUGGAUGUUGACAAGAAGCUUUGGCAGUUUAUCGUUUGUUGUGGAAGCAGCUGCAAGGGGUUAUGGCCAAAAUAUGUUCAGUCAUAGUAGCAAUUGCACUGGUGUCUUGUCAAAUGAGUACUUCACUGCCUGGUAGUUACACGGUGCUCAUGAUCCAGACCAAAUGCAGAGCUGCAGAUUCAUAAAGACCAACACACACAGAUUCCAUCCUGGUCAUAUAACCACACGACCAGCUGUUCACUGUCUCAGAGAUAACACACGAGUAAUGAGAGCUUAGCUAAUUGUGUCAGCACGUUUUAUAGAUUUGUAAAAGGCAAAGAUAUCCUGAGAGGAGUAUGUGGGGUGUGUGGAGAGCUAAGAGUUUUAGCCAGACUAUGCAUUCUUGGCGUUAUGUCAAGCUCUUUCAAGCAGGGUGUGAGAUGUGCUCUUCAUGAUGUUUAUGGAUGAGAUAUUGAGAUGCCAGAAACGUCUGGAAAUUGUCCAGCUGAGUGACAUUAUAGUGGCAUCUCUGUUGUUUGCAGAUGACACUGUCCUUGUGGUCUCUCUGGAACAUUACCAUAGCUGUUUCCAAACAUGAGACUGAAUUAAGAGUCACCGGUUCUUCUCUUUACCAAGAUGAGCGAGUAUUGGUAAAUAGCAUUUUCAGUGUAUUAAUUGUUAUCUGAGGAGUGAAUACGGUGGCAGUGUAGAACAGUGUGUGCACACAGCUGUUCAGCUGCAUACAAUCUGCAUGUGUCUACAUGCAAACACAUACCUUUGUGAACAUCCAGAGAGUUUUUUAGUGUCUUUGGUGGUGUGCAGUCUGCUAUAUGGCGGAACAUGAGCGUGUGAAUUCUUUUUGGAUACACUGUAUGUCUGACUUACCCUUUAGAAACCGGGAUCAAAGCUGUAGGACUGCUUCUGCUGCACACUGUCCAAGACUACUACAGAUAUCUCCAAAUUUAGAUUUUCUGCUCUUUGUAUCACCAACUCUGCAGUACGCAGUUUAGUUGCAGUGGCAAUGCAGGAUAUAAUAUGACGUUUAUAGAACGCAGCAAACAUCACACCUGGGAGGCCUGUGACAUGAGAGACCCAGCAGUUGAUUUUGGAUGUUUUUUUAACCAUAAUAACAGUCUAUCUUUUAUACAUGAAAACAACAGAUCAAAAAAUACCUGCCACUUUCACACUGUUUUAUUGUCAACCACAUACAGAAACUCUCACACAUGUGCUUUGUUUGUUUUCAUUCAUCAUGGUUUGACCUGGUUCACAUGUAAAAUCUUACAUUUCUUUUUGUCUUUGUUAAGGGAUAUUGAAUUACAUCAUCUUCAAGUGAUUAUGAGUCACCUCAAAUUUUGCUCUUUUAAAAGACUGCAUCAUGUUAAUAAAAAAAAAAAGCUCUAAUUAUAAACUAUAAUUAAUUUAAUGCAGCAUAUUUUUUCAAAAUGAAAAUAAAAAUAUGCUGGUUUAAAACUCAAUGAUGGGAAAAAUAGUAAUACUUUUUCUUAUUUUCUCCACUCUUCUGACUGAAAUCUGUAGCCUGAUGUGCAGGCUCAGUUCUGCAUUCGAUUUGUCAGUCUGUUUGUCUGUCACUCUGUCAGUACAAGAUUAAAGACAUUCCUUCCAAAUGGCAUCCUGGUCCUAUGACUUGCAACUGGUAUGUACUCUUUGCAUGUGCACUAAUGUGUGUGUCAAGACAGAAUUGUGUGCCGAGGCCACCGAUGGCAUGGUAAUAAAAAACAUAUUUGCAUGAUACUCCCUGUGCAUGCAUGUAAGACUGUGCAUAUGGAAGUACUUUGUUUGCCGGUGUGCAUGCCACUUCUAUCAUAUGUUCAAGGUGCAUGUGUGAAUUGGCGUUAAUGUCCAAUUCCCUGCGAGAGGUUGACAUAUUUGCAUGCGAGAGUGUAAACGCGUGUGUGUUUGUGAGCUACUGGUUGAGGCAGGGGCCAAGGUCUUAUGAGAAGAGUGCUGUGCGUGUUUGCAUGUGGGAAGAGGGGAAUAAACGUGUUAGUGAAUUGGAUGCUAAAUGAGGAGUGGACGAGGUGGGCAGGAAGCGUGUGUGUGUGUGUGUGCGUGUGUUUACAUGUGUGAACUGCUGUCCUAAUGAAAUGUGAAAGCCCUCCGAGUCACCUCUGCCCUUCCCCCACUGUACUGAAUGCCGUCUCCCUGUCUCUCUCUCUCUCUCUCACGCACACACACACAGGUCCAUUCUCUCUUAUUCCCACUUUCACACUCAUAAACAGACAUGCGUGCGCGGCUCGUGUUAACAUGGAAAGCGUUAGCGUGGAAAGAGGUCUUCUCUCUGUCUUCCCUAUCCUGUGAGGCGAGACUCUCCCUCAGCAUGCUGAGAGUACAGCUGGCAGUCAGGGAGCCUCCAGACACACACUCACACACACAUGCAUGCAGACAGAGGCACGCUAGGCAGUAGGUCAUGAAGCCGCUGGCAUGAAGGAUAGACGGGUCUGACACCAGAAAAGCAGACAGCCUGGCUGACAUGCACUGGAGAGCAUUAUCAGGAUAACAAUAGCGUGUUUGACUGUAACUCUUUCUGUGUGUGUGUGUGUGUGUGUGUGUGUGUGCAAAUGUUUAGAUAACAGCAUGCUCCAUAUUAUGUAGCCUAUGUGUGAAAGGAUAAAAAAACAAGCAUUAAAAGUCCUCCUUGCUGCUGGUUGUGUAAGAAAAUGUCAAUUUAACAUUCCUGCACUGGUUUACAGCAACUCCGGUCAAACUCUUUCUAUAAGAUAGCUUUCUGUUCACCAGUGCUUGUCUAAAUUCUUAAACUAAAAUGUAUUUUUUAAGAAUACAAAGAAGCAAGCAAAAAAAGCUAAAUUGUCCAAGUGUGUUCGCUUAACUGAAAAAUAAGGAUAUUUCAGACUAAAAUAACAUCUAGGAUAAACUACACCGCAAUAGAGGAACAACACUUUUUCUGACGACUGUGAAUUUUUAUCUCAGACGUGCAGCUUCACCCUCAGUCUUUUAACAUCAUUUAGCCGCAAGUGCAUAUUUAAAACUCCUUUUAAAGGGUCUUUGUGUUAAUCUGAAACAUUAAAAAUCAACUAACUCGAGAAACUGGCAUUUUAAUUAGCUUGGACAGAUAACAAUCUGCUUAUCUGGUUUGUCAUUUUAGGUUGACAGUCACCAGCUGGAAAUGAGAAGCUGCUUUUGUCCACCUCUAACUGAAAUCAAGGCUACUUUGUUUUCAGUAUUACUAAGCAUUAGACUGCAAAUCUGCCCCGCUUUCCAGUCCCAGUCGCAUACUUCGAGAGACUGGAAAGUUUGGCAGGCAUAGCAAUAGUAACUACACUUAGCAAACUAUCAAAAAAAAAAAAAAACACUCUUAAGCCACAUUUGCUCAAUAAGCAAA